AUUGAACGCUGGCGGCAUGCCUUACACAUGCAAGUCGAACGGCAGCACGGGAGCAAUCCUGGUGGCGAGUGGCGAACGGGUGAGUAAUAUAUCGGAACGUGCCCAGUCGUGGGGGAUAACGUAGCGAAAGCUACGCUAAUACCGCAUACGAUCUAUGGAUGAAAGCGGGGGAUCGCAAGACCUCGCGCGAUUGGAGCGGCCGAUAUCAGAUUAGGUAGUUGGUGAGGUAAAGGCUCACCAAGCCGACGAUCUGUAGCUGGUCUGAGAGGACGACCAGCCACGCUGGGACUGAGACACGGCCCAGACUCCUACGGGAGGCAGCAGUGGGGAAUUUUGGACAAUGGGCGCAAGCCUGAUCCAGCAAUGCCGCGUGCAGGAUGAAGGCCUUCGGGUUGUAAACUGCUUUGUACGGAACGAAACGGUGAGCUCUAAUACAGUUUGCUAAUGACGGUACCGUAAGAAUAAGCACCGGCUAACUACGUG
rnacentral:rRNA from 1 species